rnacentral:lncRNA from 1 species
CGGGAAUUGUCUCCGCUUUUUCAUUUUAUUUCUUUUCAGUAUAUUAGUUUUACGUUUUAUUUUUGGCUUAUCAAAAGUAUAUUCUGAUGUUUAUUGUUAUUAGACUCUAGCGUUGCACUGAGUGUCAGCCCUCCCCUCAAGCUAAUCGAACAACGGCAGAUAAAGUACUGGGGGCAGACGGCGACUUCACGUGUAAAUGUUUACUCAAGGACUUAAGAAAAUAAGUGUGUUUAAUCUGUAAUAUGUUUAUCUACCUUGUAGUGGCUUUCAUUGUGGAAUAAUCCAAGAAAAAAAUAUGGAUUAUUAAUUAUAAUUAUUGCACCAUUUUUUUCAGAUUAUAAACAUAAAAAGUAUAGAAAAGCAACAAAAAAAAUCUAAUAUUGAAAAAAGUUACAAAAAAAGUAUUUUUGAAGACCUGUGGCCAUAGUUUGGAUAGAGAGACUUGUAGCUCUCCCUGUCUAUUCAGGGAGAAACCGAAGGACAAGACAUCAGAAGGAGGGUUGGUUACAAGGCUCACUUCAGAGGUGCCUACCUUUUUGGUUUGUUAGCUUUCGUUCAGUUUCAUUUUUGUUCAAAUCUCAUGUGUUAUGUUUGCUUGUUUUCUGCAAGGCCACUGACGGUUUACAACCUUUUUUGUUCUUCUGAAGUUCGAGGAAAAGGAAUUAACUGUAUGAAAAUGUUGGAAAAACAAAAAAGGACAAAUACUUCCAUUUUAAAAAGAAUAACAAAAACACUUUACAGAAUGAAGAUUUUAAUAUUGUGCUACUUUCAGAACUCUGGGAUCCAACAGUGUUGUCAUGUUAUAUUUGACCUUUGACAUCUUUGUUCUAUGUUGAUUUCAUGGACUAUCUAAAGCCUGUGCGUUUUUAUUGAUUACAUUUUUCCUUUUGUAAAAAAAAAUACAUAAUUGCUCACUAUCUUGCACACAUAAAGUGGAUCUUGUCUCAGGAAGGCCAGGGUUCCAGAGUUCCAACUCCACUCCAUUUUAAUGUACGGGGGGGGUGAAAUGAUUUUAAAAAAUGAAGCACUGAAAUUUAUGGAUUUCAGAAAGAGAGAAAAUAUCCAUUUUUUUCUAAAUCCGUAGCAGUUUACAGUGCCUUCAGAAAGUAUUCACACCCCUUGACUUUUACCAAAUUUUGUUGUUACAGCCUGAAUUUAAAAUGUAUUAAAGUAUUAGAUUUUUUUGGUCACUGGCCUACACACAAUACCCCAUAAUGUCAAAGUGGAAUUAUGAUUUUCUAAAUUUGACAAAUUUAAUAAAAAAUGAAAAGCUGAAAUGUCUUGAGUCAAUAAGUAUUCAACCCCUUUUGUUAUGACAAGCCUAAAUAUGUUCAGGAUUGCAUGGACUCUGUGUGCAGUAAUAGUGUUUAACAUGAUUUUUGAAUGACUACCUCAUUGUACCCCAUACAUACAAUUAUCUUUAAGGACUCUCUGUCGAGCAGUGAAUUUCAAACAGAUUCAACUAUAAAGACCAGGGAGGUUUUCCAAUUCCUCGCAAAGAAGGCCACCUUUUGGUAGAUGGGUAAAAAAUACAUUAAAAAACAGGCAUUGAAUAUCCCUUUGAGC